UCCUGAUCCAUCAGUUUGAUCGGGGCAUCAUCAUCCUCGUAAAGGAUAUCCUUGCCUUUUAUGUCCGCCAAGUGGCUAGAGCGCUGCCUGUGAGAUGACCCCAUACGAAGAUAUGGAAGUCAGAUCUCAGGUCGGAUAAUUGUAUUGGCCUGAGCUCAGGUGAUCUCAGGUGCUCGAGAACGAGGGUGAUCGGGAUCAGAUUACUUGUAGGGUUUGAUGCAGACGACACCAGAAAACCACUGGUUCUGAACGUAACCGUAACCGGAGUAGACGACAGCAGCGAACACACUAUAUAAUUAACUCAAAUUUCCAAAACCAUAAUUCUAUACCCUAAACUCUAUUUCAUAAAUCAUAGUUCCAUUUCAUAUACCAUAAACUCUAAAUUUAAAUAUAUUCCCUAAAUCAUAAACCUAAACACCAAAUCUAAUAUUUUCAAGUUAAACUUCAAAUCUUAAAAGUGAUAAGCCAAAACUUUAUCUAACAAAAUGUAAAGUUAUUUAUAUUAACUCCAAACUUUGUUUCUAAACAUUUAAACCUAUUGUUUACAUAAAUUAUAAAUAAAAGAAAACAAAAAGUUUUCAAGCAUUUAAAACCAUUGUCUAAUCUAAACUAUAUACUUAAUUUAAAUUUCCAAAACCAUAAUUAUAUACCCUAAACUCUAUUUCAUAAAGCAUAAUUCCAAUUCACAUACCCCAAACAUUAGAAACAUAUAAACUACAUUGAAUCUAAAAUUAAAAUUUCAAAUUUAAAAUUGUAAAAUCUUAAUCUUUGAAUUUUGUCUCAGAAAUGUUUUUGUACAUUAAUAUUUACAUUAGUACUUCGCGUAUUAAAACAGAAAAAAAAAACAGAGUAGGAAAAUAAUUACAAAAUCUGGUCAAAAUGAAUUGACCAAUAAGGUAUAAGGAUGAGGAUCACACUCGCUUCUGACCAAAGCCGUUGAUUAAGUAAAUCUAAUGGACCAAAAUAAACAAGACGAAAAGAUGUAUUUCUUCAUCUCUCUCCUCUUACCUCUCAUAUUCUUCUCUUCCACUUUCUCUAUCUCUCAUCUUCUUCUUCUCCAUAUGAUGCCUUAAACAAAACUGUCUCAACCACCAUCACCAAAAACGAACCAGUGUCAACACCCAUCACCAUAAACGAAUCAGUGUCAACACCCAUCACCAAUCACCAUAAAUGAAUCUGUCUCAAUCUUCAUCAGCUCAAACAAAAUCUGUCUCCAGCCGAGAUGUCAAGACACGGUGGACUUCGACAAGAAGAACAGGUUGAUUUACGAGAGAUAAUACUGUCGAGUAAGUGAAGAGAGGCUCUCAAAGACCUGUGCCGUAGCCAUCCCGAAGGAAAGCUAAAGUCUCUCUAUAUCUAUCUUUAUCUCUCUGCAUCCUUUCAAUCUCUCUCUGUUUUGAACUGAUUUUGUUUAUUUUGGUGCAUGCUGAAGAAUUGAACUAGUGAGAAGAACCAGAGGAGCAAUGCUACGGGAGUAAGCGAAUAGAGGUUUUGGAGGCUGGAGGCGGAUGCUCUGGAGGCUGCAGGCUGGAGGCGAAGGAUUAGGGUUGCUGGCGGAGGCUUAGUCUAGGUUUAGGAUAAUUAUGUUUUGGUUUAAUGUUUUAAUUUGUUUUUGGUUUAAUGUGUUCUUUAACUGUUUGUAUACUGAUUUUAAUUAAUAAAUAAAAUUUAAUUAUGAAUUAA